CUCUCUCUCUUCUAUUCUGCCUCUCUCUCUUCCUCCUCUCCUCCCUCUCCUUUCCUCCACGCCACCGUCCCUUUAGCAGCAGCCUACGCAGGAUAUACACUACCCACACAAGGGUAGUUCAGCUACCACCCCAACUACACGGGCAGCUAAGCCACUAGGCGACCGACUCGAGCAGAAGAGUCACCGCCUGAACACAAGAUACCAUCAGCCUCGGUAACAUACACCCAUACGUCAACGACUACAUGUCCUCCGUAGGCACCACGGUCAAGAAGUAGCAGGUACGAAUAGAAGAUAUACGAGAUCGUCGGUCCUAAAUUAACUACCUCAGGACGACGAUUUCCUCCACUUGUCCUUCAGGAUAGCGACCUACAAAUGACAGGCUUAACGUUCCUAGACCCUUAUGUACUCAUGUCUGGGAUAGUUUAAGAUAUCGAGAUAAGUAACCGUGUGGUCAACUAGUUAAAACUCCACCGUGUAGUUGUAAUACAUGGACUUCGCUAGCGAUGUCUUCUUUCCGCUAUUGCCGCGGUGCUCCUAAGCGACGGCACUCCUCCUGGGGCUGGGCAUACUACCGGUGGCCUUCCAGUGUGUGAAGAAACCGAUCGAGUCUGACCGAGGUAACUGCUGAAGAGAUACCAUAGAAGAACACGUCGAAGUAUGGACGAACACACAGAACGUUUUUUCAUUCGAUGGACCAUGGAGAGAUGAGACGAAAUCGUCCGCAAACGUCUCCUUCGGUUCACUAUGUACUAUGACCACAUAAACAACCCAAGGAGAACCGCACAACUUGUUUUUAACCACCAGUCGUGACGAUAAAUUUCAACCAAACUAGUCAUGAUCCCUUUUGGGUAUAUACCUUCCUUUAAUAACAUCCAUAGAUUCUUACGACUACUAAUGUGAGCCUCGUUCGGAACAGUGCCGCGACGUUCACAACGGGGGGAGGAGGGGUUCCCGUUCCACUUCCUUCCACGCACACACCAAGAAGACGUCGAGCGUCGCUCCUAACGCACAGGUUGGACGUGUUCUUACGGUUCUUCAGGAAGAGCCUCUGCUAAUUCCUGUACAUGGACGUGAUGUUGCUCUCUAGGCCCUACGAAAAAACACCGAAGGUUUGAACUUUACAAACAAACAUUCAAUCAAAUCAAAAAACAACACCUAAGUGUCGAAGAGUGUACAUGGUAGGAGAAUCUGGAAAUAUAAAGGUUUCUUUGAUUUGCUUCUAUACCACCAUACCAGAGUUGUCAUGUUGAACUUCGGAAGGUACGAAAUAUAAACGA
rnacentral:rRNA from 1 species